rnacentral:rRNA from 1 species
CCUACGGGUGGCUGCAGUGGGGAAUAUUGGGCAAUGGGCGCAAGCCUGACCCAGCAACGCCGCGUGAAGGAAGAAGGCUUUCGGGUUGUAAACUUCUUUUCUCAGGGACGAAGCAAGUGACGGUACCUGAGGAAUACGCCACCGCUAACUACGUGACAGCCGCCGCGGUAAUACGGAGGUGGCAAGCGUUAUCCGGAUUUACUGGGUGUAAGGGGCGUGUAGGCGGGGACGCAAGUCGGAUGUGAAAACCAUGGGCUCAACCUGUGGACUGCAUUGGAAACUGUGUUUCGUGAGUACUGGAGAGGCAGACGGAAUUCCUAGUGUAGCGGUGAAAUGCGUAGAUAUUAGGAGGAACACCAGUGGCGAAGGCGGUCUGCUGGACAGCAACUGACGCUGAGGCGCGAAAGCGUGGGGAGCAAACAGGAUUAGAUACCCUUGUAGUC